rnacentral:rRNA from 1 species
AACGUAGGAGGCGAGCGUUAUCCGGAUUUACUGGGCGUAAAGCGCGUGCAGGCGGCUGGGCAAGUUGGGCGUGAAAUUUCUCGGCUUAACCGGGAGGGGUCGUCCAAUACUGCUUGGCUUGAGUGCAGGAGAGGGAAGCGGAAUUCCCGGUGUAGCGGUAAUAUGCGCAGAUAUCGGGAAGAACACCAGUGGCGAAGGCGGCUUUCUGGCCUGUAACUGACGCUAAGACGCGAAAGCUAGGGGAG